GGGUCAGAGGAUUAGCUCAAGCUCCAACAUAUCUAGCUGCUACCUUGCUUAACAUAGCUGCUACCUCAAUCGCUUUAUUUUUUUGUGUUUUCCCCCCUGUGGCAUUUAUUCUGUGCACAUGAACACGUUUUCAGAAUUGCUAUGUGUAACUCAGACGGUUACUCUUGUGUGUUUUGCUGCUAGUUGUGCGAACGAGCCAGACAAACCAGCUGGGAGGAGGACGGAAGCACCCCUUCUCCAUCCGCGUUCAGUUGCUAAAUACGGAUCCACCCCGUAGUAAGUAACCUACCAUGUUUACGCACACAUUACUUUGACCAGCAAAGCCCAUGUCUUUCUAGUGGUUUACAAAAAUAUAUCGUUUGCAUGUUUUGCUUUGGUACGUCUCUGUUGUAUGACUCUGGUAAUAGUAGCAAGCACAAGCACAACCUGUUCGCCGCUCCAGCAUUGCAAAAUAGAUUGCCUUGGGUUUUCAAAUGUUUACAUGAUUGUGGGUGUAAUGUUGUUAACUCGCUGAUGUCGUUUUUGAGAAGACGGUAGUUUUGCAUUUGAUAAAUACCACCUAAUGACCAUGACGGCUACACGGCAGAUCUUUAUUGUGAUGGCUACACUGAAUGAUCACAUGGAGAUGCCGGUACAUUAUUUGUUUUACCCUGGUUAUAUUGAAAUGUUCUGCUUUGUCCAUUCCAAUGUGUGGUGUUUUCCAUAGCUGUUCCUUGCUCCCGUUUCACAACAUAUCAAGGCUGCCAAGUAAAUGAAGAAUGAAUCACCGCACACUGGUCAACAGCCGACAGAGUCCUUCCACAACCACAUACUUAUGCCAGUAAAAGCCACAGCUUUUCUCCUCCAAUCCAAGAAGCCUGGACUGCAGUCACCAUCUCAACACACCAACCAAGAGAAAGGCGGAUGGCUCAAUUCAAUAUGGAAAAUUGCACAAUAAAAGUUCCAGGACAAGAAGGCUGCAUACUGUGAACGUCAACCUUCAGGGCACCGUCCUGCGCAGAAGACUUUCUACCCUAAGAGGGAUGGCUGACCGCAGACACUCACAACCAGCACAGACGCCUCCAACCUCAAACUAGGCCCUUCACAGUUGCUGCACUUACCCACCUUCCCAGAGUUUUUGUGUGGUAAUGACAACUGUAAAUAUAGUAUAAAGUAAUGUAUCUAGUGUCAUGUGUAAUACAUUGUUUAAAUUGUCCAUUGUCCAUUGCUUCCAUUUCAAUGACAGUAAAUAUUGGUGGACACAAU